AUUGAACGCUGGCGGCAGGCCUAACACAUGCAAGUCGAGCGAGAGGCGGACGGGUGAGUAAUGUAUGGGGACUGCCCGAUAGAGGGGGAUAUCUAUUGGAAACGGUGUCUAAUAUAGCGUACUGUCGUAUAACCCAUAUGGGAUUAGCUAGUAGGUAAGGUAAUGGCUUACCUAGGCGACGAUCCCUAGCUGGGCUGAGAGGAUGAUCAGCCACACUGGGACUGAGACACGGCCCAGACUCCUACGGAGGCAGCAGUGGGGAAUAUUGGACAAUGGGCGCAAGCCUGAUGCAGCCAUGCCGCGUGUAUGAAGAAGGCCCUAGGGUUGUAAAGUACUUUCAGUCGGGAGGCGGUACCGACAGAAGAAGCACCGGCUAACUCCGUGCCAGCAGCCGCGGUAAUAC
rnacentral:rRNA from 1 species